AAAAAAAAAAAAAAAAAGGAAAAAAAAAAAAAAAAAAAAAAAAAAACACACACACACACACAUCCUAUUUCUAUCAAUACUCUCUC
rnacentral:ribozyme from 1 species